rnacentral:lncRNA from 1 species
AUUUGCAUAUAGGAUGGAGAAAUACUUGGACCUUUAAGGAGUCUACAGAACUGCUGUCUUUUCAAAGUGAAAUAGUUCGUCCUUCAUUUUACACUAAAGCGUAAUGUCAUGAAGUUUCCUAUCUGUACAGAUUAUUUAAAUCAUAGAAAUGAAAAAUGUUCUCUGCUUGCUACCAAAGGACAAACUCUUGGAAACGGACAUUUUCUGCCCUCCUCCCUCCAAAGAAUAUUAAUAGGCAUCAAGUAGGAGAAAAAAAAAGAAAAGAAAAAGCAAAACCAUACUGGAAAAUCCUUCAAGCAGGGAUAAAAGUCGAUCUUCAAACAGUUAACUUACGUAGACCAAAAAUUC